UACGUAGGGUGCGAGCGUUAAUCGGAAUUACUGGGCGUAAAGCGUGCGCAGGCGGUUUUGUAAGCCAGAUGUGAAAUCCCCGGGCUUAACCUGGGAAUGGCAUUUGGGACUGCAAGGCUUGAGUGCGGCAGAGGAGACUGGAAUUCCUGGUGUAGCAGUGAAAUGCGUAGAUAUCGGGAGGAACACCAGUGGCGAAGGCGACUACCUGGCCUGUUUCUUGACGCUGAGGCGCGAAAGCUAGGGGAGCAAACGGG
rnacentral:rRNA from 1 species